rnacentral:rRNA from 1 species
GUGUUAAGUACUCGUCGCUCGAGAUGAGCCUGCGUCUGAUUAGCUAGUUGGCGGAGUAAUAGCCCACCAAGGCGACGAUCAGUAGCUGGUCUGAGAGGAUGAUCAGCCACACUGGAACUGAGACACGGUCCAGACUCCUACGGGAGGCAGCAGUAAGGAAUAUUGCUCAAUGGGAGAAAUCCUGAAGCAGCAACGCCGCGUGAGGGAUGAAGGGCUUUUGCUCGUAAACCUCUGUAGUGAGGGAAAAAAUUUCCAUUCUAUGGAAUAUGAUGGUACCUCAAAAGUAAGCCCCGGCUAACUACGUG